AUGAACGCUAGCGGCAGGCUUAAUACAUGCAAGUCGUGGGGCAGCAGGUCUGUAGCAAUACAGAUGCUGGCGACCGGCAAACGGGUGCGGAACACGUACACAACCUUCCUUUAAGUGGGGAAUAGCCCAGAGAAAUUUGGAUUAAUACCCCGUAACAUAUAGAAGUGGCAUCACUUUUAUUUUAUAGCUCCGGCCGCUUAAAGAUGGGUGUGCGGCUGAUUAGGUAGUUGGCGGGGUGGUAACGGCCCACCAAGUCCAGCGCUCAGUAGCUGAUGUGAGAGCAUGAUCAGCCACACGGGCACUGAGACACGGGCCCGACUCCUACGGGAGGCAGCAGUAAGGAAUAUUGGUCAAUGGACGAAAGUCUGAACCAGCCAUGCCGCGUGGAGGAUGAAGGUCCUCUGGAUUGUAAACUUCUUUUAUUUGGGACGAAAAGGGGAAUUCUUUCCCACUUGACGGUACAGAUGAAUAAGCACCGGCUAACUCCGUGCCAGCAGCCGCAGGUAAUACGGAGGGUGCAAGCGUUAUCCGGAUUCGCUGGGUUUAAAGGGUGCGUAGGCGGAUAGGUAAGUCCGUGGUGAAUCCUGCAGCUUAACUGCAGAACUGCCGUGGAUCUACUAUCUAGUGAAUAUCGUGAGGUUAGCGGAAUAUGUCAUGUAGCGGUGAAAUGCUUAGAUAUGACAUAGAACACCCAUUGCGAAGGCAGCUAACUACGCGAUAAUUGACGCUGAUGCACGAAAGCGUGGGAUCAAAACAGGAUUAGAUACCCUGGUAGUCCACGCCCUAAACGAUGAUUACUCGACAUUGGUGAUACACAGUCAGUGUCUGAGCGAAAGCAUUAAGUAAUCCACCUGGAAGGUACGAUCGCAAGAUUGAAACUCAAAGGAAUUGCGGGGGUCCGCACAAGCGGUGGAGCAUGUGGUUUAAUUCGAUGAUACGCGAGGAACCUUACCUGGGCUAGAAUGCUGAUGGACUGUGGGUGAAAGCUCACCUUCCCCGCAAGGGGCCGUCAGUAGGUGCUGCAUGGCUGUCGUCAGCUCGUGCCGUGAGGUGUUGGGUUAGUCCCGAAACGAGCGCAACCCCUAUCACUAGUUGCCAUCAGGUAACGCUGGGACUCUAGUGAAACUGCCGUCGUAAGACGCGAGGAAGGAGGGGGAUGAUGUCAAGUCAUCAUGGCCUUUAUGGCCCAGGGCUACACCGUGCUACAAAUGGGCGCUACAAAGGGCUGCCACUUGGCGACAAGGACUAAUCCCAAAAAAGCGCUCUCAGUUCAGAUUGCAGUCUGCAACUCGACUGCAUGAAGCCUGAAUCCGUAGUAAUCGUAUAUCAGCAAUGAUACGGUGAAUACGUUCCCGGACUUGCACACACCGCCCGUCAAGCAAUGGAAGACGGGAUGUACCUGAAGUCGGCAACCGCAAGGAGCUGCCUAGGGUAAAAUCGGUGACUGGGCUA
rnacentral:rRNA from 1 species